UACGUAGGGUGCGAGCGUUAAUCGGAAUUACUGGGCGUAAAGCGUGCGCAGGCGGUUUUGUAAGACAGGCGUGAAGUCCCCGAGCUCAACUUGGGAAUUGCGCUUGUGACUGCAAGGCUAGAGUGUGUCAGAGGGGGGUAGAAUUCCACGUGUAGCAGUGAAAUGCGUAGAGAUGUGGAGGAAUACCGAUGGCGAAGGCAGCCCCCUGGGACAUGACUGACGCUCAUGCACGAAAGCGUGGGGAGCAAACAGG
rnacentral:rRNA from 1 species